ACCUGGCUGGCUCAGUGGGUAGAGCGUGAGACUUUUUCUCUCAGGGUUGUGGGCUUGGGUCCCAUGUUGGGUA
rnacentral:tRNA from 1 species